GGUCGCAUGGUGUAGUGGUUAUCACGUUUGUCUUACAUUACUUGAGCACAAACGGUCGCCGGUUCGAUCCCGGCUGUGGCCA
rnacentral:tRNA from 1 species